AUUUUCUUUCAAUCACAAUGUGGAGCAGAUGGGAAAGGAAAAUGCCAAAAAUCUGAAUUGCUUGGAGGUUGCUUUUAAAAGGGAAACACUAGAAGUGUUUUAUCUCAUUUAAAAUAUGUAUUUAAGUCUGGAGCUGAAGGAGUUACCAUGGAAAUGGGCCGGAAACUCAACAAGCAGCAAAACGCGUCUCCCACUGUUGUUUUCACAAAUUUCAGAAAUGGUUUAUUGUCUUCAGAAAAAGUCUGUUAGCAUCUGAACUGUAAUGCUAACUAUAAGAGGUAAGUUAGGUUAACUAUUGACUUGAGCUCUUGUUUAUGAAAAUCUGGGCUUUUAAUGUCAUCUUAAU